rnacentral:lncRNA from 1 species
ACAACUACACAGUGGAUCGUCUGUAAUUUUCAUUUUGUGCUUAUAAUAAGGUGUUAGUGCAUGGUUUUCACGUAUUCGAUUUAUUGUGGCGACAAAGUUUCUGUUUGGUAUUUUGUGACACCAUGGUUUUCUGGGGAUCCUUGGCUGGUGUUUACAAAAGUUUGUUCCAGUUGUUGAUUAUUUAUUUUGUUCCUUUGAUUUAAGAAUAAAUCGGACGGGGGUAGUUUAAGAUUUAGUUCUUCUCCUGAUGUUGAGGCUGUUUUUGCUAAGGCAUCCACCAUUUCAUUACCUGUUAUACCUGCGUGUCCCUUUACCCAU